rnacentral:rRNA from 1 species
CAGUAGCCGCGGGAAAACGGAGGGGGCUAGCGUUGUUCGGAAUUACUGGGCGUAAAGCGCACGUAGGCGGCUUGGUAAGUUAGAGGUGAAAGCCUGGAGCUCAACUCCAGAAUUGCCUUUAUGACUGCCGAGCUAGCAGGUGAGAGAGGUAAGUGGAAUUCCGAGUGUAGAGGUGAAAUUCGUAGAUAUUCGGAAGAACACCAGUGGCGAAGGCGGCCCCCUGGACAAAGACUGACGCUCAGGUGCGAAAGCGUGGGGAGCAAACAGGAUUAGAUACCCCGGUAGUCCCUGUCUCUUAUAA